rnacentral:lncRNA from 1 species
GCGAGACUCCGUCUCGGAAAAAAAAAAAAAAAAAAAGAAAGAAAAAGAAUUCUGGACACUAAAGUGCUCCAGAAAACAAGACUAACUAGAAUUCUGGAAAAGCUCUUUACAGAGACAGCACACUUAUAGAAGAGACACAUGGACCUGAGUGAAACAGAUGUGUGAGCCUCUUGAAGUAACUGUAUCCCCAAGACUUAUGAUAUGUACUGCAAUAUAUGAAGGGCCAUCCUCUGAACUCAUGAAACAACUAACUGCAUUGGAAAUAGGUUUGACUUUCUGGUAUUAUGUUAGACAGUACCCAAAUGUAAAUUAAACACACUUCGUAUGAGUUGGGGAAAAUGGGGUUGCAUUUUAUUGCUCUAAAAAGCUCAGAAAUGAGUUUUUAUAUCUUAACUUCCAUAAACAUUCCUCUUUUAGUUUUUCAGUCAGAAUGCUGAUGAAUGACCUUUACCAACUCUGUAUUUUCUACAUUCAUUGCUGUAUUUUAAAGGAGAAGCCGGAAUCUGUGUUUUCCAGGACCCCUAACCCACAGGGUUCCAGUUUAGAUUCUUGUAGCCAGAGACAAUCAUGUACAAUUUAGAAAUUGAAAGAGAAACAAAAGUAAUUAUUCACCAGCAGAAGCUGUGAACAGACCAGUGGAUAUUAUCAGAGCAGUUUUGGGGCUUCAGUAACGGUUUCUUGCUGUCCUCAGCAAAAUUUUCCAUUUCAGUCUGUUCAGGCAGCUGAAUUCUUCCAGGACAGUGGUCCUGCACCCCUUGUACUCCUGUGUUCCCUCAGGGCCAGCAGAAGUCUCUAUAACCUUCUCUAUUUCAGGCCUUCCAAUGGUCGAAUAAGCCACCUAUAUUCAAUCCCUUCCCAUCUAAAAUAUCUAGUGCGGUUUCUGUUUUCUUGGCCAAAUCUCAUUGACGUAGGAGGCCAUGAGAGAUGGUGAACAUGCAUACAUGCUGAGAUGCUUCAAAUUAGAGAGUAUUACUUUUAAAAGUACAAUCACUGGACUAAGCCUUAACUCAGUUUCUGAGAGGAGAUAGAGGCAAAAUUUGUAAAGCAAAAGGAGCAAACUAUUUGAGGAAAAU